GAUGAAUGCUGGCGGUGUGCCUAAUACAUGCAAGUCGAGCGAGAACCGUAGCAAUACGGGGACAGCGGCGAAAGGGACAGUAAUGUGUAGGUACCUACCUCCGGGUUCGGGAUAGCUGCGGGAAACUGCAGGUAAUACCGAAUAACGUCUCCGGACCAAAGGUGUGAUUCCACCUGGAGAGGGGCCUGCAUCCUAUUAGCUUGUUGGCGGGGUAACGGCCCACCAAGGCGACGAUGGGUAGCGGGUGUGAGAGCACGACCCGCGUCAUUGGGACUGAGACACUGCCCAGACACCUACGGGUGGCUGCAGUCGUGAAUCUUCGGCAAUGGGCGCAAGCCUGACCGAGCGACGCCGCGUGCGGGAUGAAGGCCUUCGGGUUGUAAACCGCUGUCGUAGAGGAGGAAAUGCAGGGGGGUUCUCCCCUCUGUUUGACCUAUUCUAGGAGGAAGUACGGGCUAAGUUCGUGCCAGCCGCCGCGGUAA
rnacentral:rRNA from 1 species